rnacentral:rRNA from 1 species
CCUACGGGGGGUGCAGUGGGGAAUAUUGGACAAUGGGCGAAAGCCUGAUCCAGCCAUGCCGCGUGUGUGAAGAAGGCCUUCGGGUUGUAAAGCACUUUCAGUGGGGAAGAAAGCCUUGGGGCUAAUACCCUCGAGGAAGGACAUCACCCACAGAAGAAGCACCGGCUAACUCCGUGCCAGCAGCCGCGGUAAUACGGAGGGUGCGAGCGUUAAUCGGAAUUACUGGGCGUAAAGCGCGCGUAGGCGGUCUGAUAAGCCGGUUGUGAAAGCCCCGGGCUCAACCUGGGAACGGCAUCCGGAACUGUCAGGCUAGAGUGCAGGAGAGGAAGGUAGAAUUCCCGGUGUAGCGGUGAAAUGCGUAGAGAUCGGGAGGAAUACCAGUGGCGAAGGCGGCCUUCUGGACUGACACUGACGCUGAGGUGCGAAAGCGUGGGUAGCAAACAGGAUUAGAUACCCCUGUAGUC